GUUGAAAUUUCUUAACCAUUUUAACUUUAUUCACAAAGUUUAUGGAAAUUUUUUGAUUUCUAUAACAUUGGGUUAAAAGUUUAUGCAAGUGGGAAGUACCAGGCUGUUCAGUGAAAUCUGUUUCAUUCAAGGCUUAAACAAAGUCAAAUAUGAGUAUCCUCCAACCUUUCUUGCUCAGAUUAUCUCAUUCUCAUCCUGGCAGAGACGUAGCUGUACUAAGAGUUACAUUGUUAUGUUAGUAAAGGACAAUCUGUUCCAUUCACUUGGCAUAAUUUUAGGAACAGAAGCAUAUUUUAGUAGUAAGUUGUAACUUUCCUAUCUAAAAAGCUUCCCGCAUAUCCCCACACCAAGCGGUCAGCAGAUUUAAGUCUUAACUGUCGAACAGCCAACACAAAGAGCAAAGAAAACAGUUACAAAAUUCACAGUGUCAGAAAGUAAAAACAAACCAGUUGCCCAUGGAAAAUACUGCAAUGCUUAAUGCUAAGAUCAAUAAAAAAAUGAGGGCAAACUGACAUAAGCCGAUUUGGCUGCUCAAAACUGUCGAGUUCUUUAUAGCCUCUGAUGCUCAGAGGUAGAUAAGAGCCACAGGUUCUCUCCCACAACAGCCACACCAUGCCACCAUGGUACGCUGUGAUGAAAGCGGGUCUCAGUCUGAAUUCUGACACUCCUUUCAACAUUUAGUAACAACCAGGCAGAAAAACACUGUCACGUGACCUUAUAACUUUGGUAAAGUCUCAGCUUCUGCCUCAAGCACUCCGGCAAGCACCUUGCAAGAAUGGUUUACUCAAAGCAGAUGUAGCCAUAUUCUAGCAGCCAAAGUGACCAGCCUUCUAGUCUGCCCAGGUCCCGAAUCCUCUGUUGAGUGGCAGGACAUCUGCACCCUUGCUGGGCCACUUCCCACUCAUGCAAGGAUGAUGGUACUUUUAUAACAAUUUCAGCAAAUCUACCAACUUUGAAUGCCAGUCAAACACCAAUGAAUACUUAUUUCUAUCAUCUCUUUGUCAGGAGUUCUUAAACUUUUGAGGCCAUAGACCCGUUUGGCAGUCAGAUGAAACCUGUGCAUUACUUCUCAGAACAAUGUUUUUAAAUGCAUUAAAAAAAAAAAAAUGACAUUUCACAGAAAGCCAAUUAUAUUGGAAUGGGGUUAUCAAAAAUAAUGUAAUAAAAAUAUGUGCUUCUCUUGGAAAGCAUUGAAUAAUAACACCUGAAAACUAUUAUAGCUCUGAAGUAAUGAUGAGUAAAUUGUAUUUUGCGAUAUCUGCAAUAACUCUAAUGCUACAUGAAAAUUGAUCAAAUUGUUGGCAAACCCUAAAGCAAGACAAAAGAUUCUCUUUAAAUGAUGUCAAUAUUUCAUG
rnacentral:lncRNA from 1 species